ensembl:lncRNA
AGACAUCUGGUCAGGGCUUUUUCACCCAUCAUCAAACUAUUCCUACUGUAAUCAUCUGCCAAUCGUCUUCCAUUCACCCCCCCCCCCCCCCUCCAACACUUACACUCAGUUCCUGCUUCACGGAAGCCUUGUUGUGGUUCAUUCACGCUGUCUCUUAUGGGCCUUGAGUUGAAUUCUUCAGCUUCAACUGAAACACACAACAUCUGAUGUUAUGAUCCCUCACGCUGCUCACUGCUUUUGCAGAAAAGAAAGGCGCUCGACGUCCGACUUCAGCAGCAGCUCCAGUGACAAUGGCGCCGUCUCUCCUGCGGAGAUGCUGGAGGAUCUAAAUAGGAAGGAAAGGGUGAGAUCUGCUGAGAGGGAGAAAGAUUUUUGCCACAAGAUUGCAGAUUUGAAAACACAACUUACAGAAGUGGAGCGGAACAUAAGGUAGGAAAUAGAACCACUUACAUCAUUGCUGUACGAAAAAAAGUCUAAUAAAAAAUGAAAAGGCAGCUGAACCACCGUUUAUCUAAAAAAGACAGAAAGACACAAAUUUCACAGAAAAGCAAAGAAGACAUCAGGAUUUCCAAUGCCAAACAAUAGAUGCAACACAAACUAAAACCAAAAACUAUUGAAUCGAAGAAAAAAGAAACAUAGUUAAGAUUUAAGACUUUAAAUCUGUUUAAUGCAGCAAAGGAAAGCUGCGGCUUAUCGGUCAUUUCAUCAUUCAAAGCAAUCAUUUCCUUUUCUUCUAAAAUAUAACGCAGGCAGUACAACAGUCAGACACUCUGUUUCCCAGCAUCUCAAGGAGGACCGGUUUUAGCCAAUCAGAUUUGAUACCUUGCUCACCAAAAAAGCGAUUAAUUAAACGCAUCCACGUUGUGCCUCCUCUAAUCUCCUGCAUGAACACCAGAAAGAACAUCCUCUCCAUCACAUUCGGCACGCGGGUUAACAGACUGCUGCCUCGAGCGUCUCUUAAUUAGGAUUUUUGUAUCACAGCGAUUUGGCAAAGAUUUGCCUUUUCUUGUGCUGCUCUAAUUAAAUAUUGUAAUAAAUCUCAAGACAUCCGGACAAGGCUUUUUCAGCCAUCAUCAAACAAUCGCUUCUUUCCUUUCAUCCGUCCUUGGUUCCUGCUUCCCGUGGUUCAUUCACACCGUCUCGUGUGGGCUUUUGUUAGUUACUGAUGUAACAGAAACACACGACAACAUCUGAUGUUAUGAUCCCUCACGCUGCU